AAUGAACGCUGGCGGCAUGCCUAACACAUGCAAGUCGAACGAGACCUUCGGGUCUAGUGGCGCACGGGUGCGUAACGCGUGGGAACCUGCCCUUAGGUUCGGAAUAACUCCCCGAAAGGGGUGCUAAUACCGGAUAAUGUCUUCGGACCAAAGAUUUAUCGCCUUUGGAUGGGCCCGCGUUGGAUUAGCUAGUUGGUAGGGUAAAAGCCUACCAAGGCGACGAUCCAUAGCUGGUCUGAGAGGAUGAUCAGCCACACUGGGACUGAGACACGGCCCAGACCUCCAAGGGGAGGAGGCGUUGGGAAUAAUGGGACAAGGGCGAAAGCCUGAUCCAGCAAUGCCGCGUGAGUGAUGAAGGCCUUAGGGUUGUAAAGCUCUUUUACCCGGGAUGAUAAUGACAGUACCGGGAGAAUAAGCUCCGGCUAACUCCGUG
rnacentral:rRNA from 1 species